ensembl:lncRNA
GGUGGCCGCGACGGUUUAACACCGUCUUCUCACGAUGUGGCGCGUGAACUAUAGUUGAAAUGCGUGAGGCUUCAGAACCUGCAAUGAGUUUAUUACGUUAGACAGGUUUGUAACGGAGCGUCUCAUCCACCGAGGAAACGCAGCCUGCCGUCGCCAGAGAACAGAGCAGAAAGAAGCCUUUAAAUACAAUCUCGAGAACAAGCACCCUCAACUAAACAAGUCUCUACUUGGAAAAGAUCCAAGUCUUCCCCACAGAACAAGGCUCGUCUAAACAAAGUCAGGUAAGAAAGUAUGACAUAUUCCACACCAAAUCUGUAAAUUACCUCAGAAUGAACCUUAUUGGCAAAGUGGAUUUUGGCCAAGUUAUCAAGUGUGUACAUCAGAGAUUACGGUCAUCAAGACUGUCAAAGACCUUGAUUAUCACGCAGCAGAAGUAGAAAUGCUGGAAAAACCCCGUUGGUCUAGAGGAAAAACCACUUGGUCAGAUUCAUACAGUUUCAUAAUCAAUGCCAUGGAUUGCCCUGUCUUUGAGAUGCUUGACAAGAGCCUUCAGAUUUGGUGGUAUAGAGACGAGCACUAUUGACUCUUAAUGAAAUCCGUCCAAUAACUCGUCAACCACCAAGAUGAGACCUUCAGGGUAAAAUGAAUUACUUCAUUAGGGCCAUUCCAGCCUCUGAAGUAAGGGAAGGGAUGAUUACACAGACACGUGAAUACCAAGCACCAGAGGUGACCUUGGGCUUCCCCAUAUCGGUGUUGGGUCUGUCUGUGUUUUGUUUUUUCUCCCUCCUGGUUGUCAGCUGGUCUUGAUGGGGUCGUCGGGCAGUUCCUGCCACCUGCUGCUUAUCUUCAGGAUUGCCUCCACCCACCUCCAGUAUUUAAGCCGGCCUGAUCUACCAGUCUUCGCCAGUUCGUCAGAUACUCCUGCGUUUUUUCCCUGUGUCCUGGUCCUCGGCUUUGAUUGCCUCGUCUCCCUGCCUCGCCAGUUCCUGUCCGGAGCUCCUGCAUCCAGCCUCCCAAUUUCUAUCUUCAUCAACCUGUUUAAAUAAACUUCUGUACCGAA